AUCACAGUUAGAGAAUAUACAGUCAGGAUCCUCACCAAACCGCCCGUAUCACAGCACUGCCUAACCACAGUGAAGAAUACUUUAUGAGCUGGUGUGGGCAAGGCUUUGAGAAUAAAUGUUAGAUGUCUACUGGGUGUUAUGUUCUGGGUACACAGAGAUGAAAGGACAGCCGCUGUCUACUUGAACCUUACACUCCAGAGCGAGCGAGCAUGUGUGUGGCGGAGGAGAGGCAGAGGAAGAAGGAGAGAGAGUCUCAGGUAGACUCCACCCUGAGCGCGGAGCUGGAGGCAAGGCUCAAUUCCAAAACCCCAGUCGAAAGUAAGAGUCCGACACUUAACCAACUGUGCCAGGCACCCCUAAAUUUGACUAUUUUAGAUAAAGAGCGUCUGUUCACCAAAAGAAAAACCAUGAAAAGUGAAAGCCAAGCCACAAAACAUAUUUGUAAAGAAACUGAAGUCACGAGAGGGUAGGCGGUGUCCCCAAAGUCACCCAGAGUGUUACCAGUAAAGCAAGACAGGAACCAAGAUUGUGUGCUCCUUACCUGUUCUCUUUCCAAUCUGCCAACUUGAAAUUUAAACAAGGUCCACAAAUCCAUACAAGGAAUGAAAUCAGCAACCUGUGUUCUCUGGUCUGAGCACAACAGCUGCCAGGAAGAAAAUCUGAUAUGCACCACGGACAAGGACUUAAU